rnacentral:rRNA from 1 species
UAAUACAUGCAAGUCGAGCGGCCUUUUAUUAAGGCAGCGGCGGACGGGUGAGUAACACGUUAGUAUCUGCCCCAGACUCAGGGAUAACAUCGAGAAAUCGGUGCUAAUACCGGAUGGUCCCGCAAGGGUAAAGCUUUUGCGGUCUGGGAGGAGCUUGCGUACUAUCAGCUUGUUGGUGAGGUAAUGGCUUACCAAGGCUAUGACGGUUAGCUGGUCUGAGAGGAUGAUCAGCCACAAUGGGACUGAGACAAGGCCCAUACUCC